GACGAACGCUGGCGGCGUGCUUAACACAUGCAAGUCGAACGGAAAGGCCCUGCUUUUGUGGGGUGCUCGAGUGGCGAACGGGUGAGUAACACGUGAGUAACCUGCCCUUGACUUUGGGAUAACUUCAGGAAACUGGGGCUAAUACCGGAUAGGAGCUCCUGCUGCAUGGUGGGGGUUGGAAAGUUUCGGCGGUUGGGGAUGGACUCGCGGCUUAUCAGCUUGUUGGUGGGGUAGUGGCUUACCAAGGCUUUGACGGGUAGCCGGCCUGAGAGGGUGACCGGCCACAUUGGGACUGAGAUACGGCACAGACUCCUACGGGAGGCAGCAGUGGGGAAUAUUGCACAAUGGGCGGAAGCCUGAUGGAGCAACGCCGCGUGCGGGAUGACGGCAUUCGGGUUGUAAACCGCUUUCGCCUGUGACGAAGCGUGAGUGACGGGAAUGGGUAAAGAAGCACCGGCUAACUACG
rnacentral:rRNA from 1 species